UCCCUCUUCCCCUAUAUUUUUUUCCCCAGCGCCGACACACCCAUUCCCCCACCAACCUCUGCGUUUUUUUUUCCGAUCACCGGCGACCCACACCCUACCUUGCCGCCGUUUCCUUCUUUCUUUCCUUCUCUCUGUGUUCCCAUUUCUGGCGAGUGUUAGAGCCGCAGCGAACCGCAACUCCUCCAGAUCGACGCGAGCAUCCAUUGCGCCGGCGAGCCUCCGUCACGCCUCCCUCGCCGUCGCGCCACUUACGCCGCCGUGCAACAAAUCGUUUAUCACCUCCCUCUAUCUUCGUUUGAGCGAGCUCAGCAACACCGCGCCUCCAUUCCGUCGCGCCGCCUGCUUGCAGUUCCGGUGAGCGCAGCUACUUGUUCUGGUCGGCUUAGCAACCGUUCUCUCACCUUCCUUUCGUUCCGGCGUGUGUUGCUUCCAUCUCCGGUCAAGUAGAUUCCGGCUGUCUAGUGGGUAUAAAUUAAAUUUUGGAUCUUUUCUGAAAAUUUAUUUAUUUCUAGUUAUUGCGAUUGAUUAAUUUAAGUUAAUAUUGGUUAUUUCCAGUAAAUUACACUAAUGUUGAUUUGAUUGAAGACCAUAGUUAAUUAAAGCUGGUUUAAUUAGUUAGCACCAUAGAAAUUUAUUGAAGCCUUGAUAACAAUAAUAUCAAUGGAAUUUAAUUAUGGACUUAAGUAGAUUAGACUCGAUGUAAUAUAAAUUUAUACAUUAUGAGUGUUAACGAUGAGGUUAAGGAGGAUAGGAAAUUUGAUUUGAUUGAUUGUCCGAAGGAUGGUCGCGUGGAUUUGAUAAAUAUUUGAUAAGUUAUUGAUAUUUUUAGUUGAUGGAUAGUCCAAUUUUUUAAGGAAGAUGUUGCCGAAAUUUCAGUAGAAAUUAGUUUAUUCUUUGAAAUUAUAUAUGUAGAUAGUUUAUUAGAUCGACUCUUUGAUUUCUUAUUUUAAUAAGUCCUUUGUCUGAUAUAAAUUCCUUUGUAUUUUUUUUUUAAUUCUUAGAUCAUCUGGACCCAUCUAUUGCCCUUCCAGGGCAGGAGCCGAGAUAAAGCACUUUCGUUCCUAUAUCACUAGUAAUAAUAAAUAGGGCAUAUCAUCACUAUAUAUGCAUGACAAUGAACUUAAUAUUUAUUUAAUUAUUUAUUCAUAAUAUUAUAUUAUUAUUAUAAAUAUUAUAUGUCUAUUUAUGAUGUAAAUUAUUAUGGUAAUGCCAAUAUAUAAUUACACUAAUAUGUUUGGGCAUUAAGACUUGACUUGGUGCAUUAUAUUGAGUAGAUCGGUGAUUACUUAUGCCGUGAAUUCUUCUGUACUUUGUUUGUGUGGAAUUGAGACGAAGUGGCGCACCAUGGGUUUGUGAGGGCGUCUUUGAUACUGUCGGCCAUGUAUGGGAAGAUCGGCGCCUCCGUGUGCAUUUGAUGAUAUAUAUUAUGGUUAAACCACAUGGUGGCCGCCUAUUGGUACGAAAAAGAAAAUAGGGUAUCCAAAAAAAAAAAGAGAGGGUUGGUCAAGUGAAGAUUAGACCGGUCGGCCAUGUAUUGGGAAUCGGCUCCCUAGUGCACGCAUCAUGAGAGGAUGGGCUAUGUGUGAGGACGGCUCAUCGGGGGUUUUGGUGGUGCCACUGACUAAUUUCCACUUGCUUGAUUAUGUGAAGGUGAAAUUAUUUAUAGUAGAAGUUCGUUGAUCCAUCGAAAGCUCUGUCAUUUUCCCGGCAGGGCUAUAAAAGUAAAUUCCUAAAUUUUAUUAUUAACUAACUUGUGUUAUUAAAUGUAUAAAUUCCUUUACUUCCAAAUUAUUGUUGGACUCCGCAGAUGUAAGAGCUGAGUAUUACUAAUAUUGUCUUUUAUAGAUGUAUUGGUCUGUAUAUGCUCUUAUUAUUUAUCUAAAUACAUAUGACCUAGUAGUCCAUAUUAUGAUUGAGAUGUAUUAUUACUAAUAGGCCCGAAAUGUGUUUUAUUCAUGAUA